GUGGGGAAUAUUGGACAAUGGGGGGAACCCUGAUCCAGCCAUGCCGCGUGUGUGAAGAAGGCCUUUUGGUUGUAAAGCACUUUAAGCGAGGAGGAGGCUACCGAGAUUAAUACUCUUGGAUAGUGGACGUUACUCGCAGAAUAAGCACCGGCUAACUCUGUGCCAGCAGCCGCGGUAAUACAGAGGGUGCAAGCGUUAAUCGGAUUUACUGGGCGUAAAUCGCGCGUAGGUGGCCAAUUAAGUCAAAUGUGAAAUCCCCGAGCUUAACUUGGGAAUUGCAUUCGAUACUGGUUGGCUAGAGUAUGGGAGAGGAUGGUAGAAUUCCAGGUGUAGCGGUGAAAUGCGUAGAGAUCUGGAGGAAUACCGAUGGCGAAGGCAGCCAUCUGGCCUAAUACUGACACUGAGGUGCGAAAGCAUGGGGAGCAAACAGGAUUAGAUACCCGAGUAGUCC
rnacentral:rRNA from 1 species